ensembl:lncRNA
UAAAGUAACAGGAAAUGAUAUAAAAUUUAUGAAAGAUUAUGAUUUUCCUUAUACAGAUGAAUACAUGAAAGAUAAAGUUUCUUGUGGUGAUUCGGAUAUGGACGAAUUAAUGUUAAAUGAUAAUAACAAUAAAUAUUCAAAUGGAAUGAAUAGUGGUAUGAACAACGGUAUGAAUAGUGGUAUGAACAAUGGUAUGAACAACAGUAUGAACAAUGGAAUGAACAACAGUAUGAAUAAUAAUUCACAUAGUUAUAAUGAUAUAAAUAAUUUAAUACAUAUGAAUAAUUAUAACAAUGGUAUUAACAAUAACAAUAAUAAUAGUAUGAUAAUGAUGAAUAAUAUGAAUAAUAAAAAUUAUAAUGUGAAAUUAGAAAAAAUGAAAAAAAAAUGACAUGUUAUUACAUAAUUGGAAUAAGUCUAAUGCAUCGGAAGGUCAUCCUGAACAUUUACCUAGAAUACCAGGUGUUCGAUAUAAUCCUAAAAAACAACAAUGGUUAGCUGCUUGGAAUGAUAACACUCGUGAGAUUAGACGUUAUUUUUCUAUUAAACAAUAUGGAUUUGAACAGGCUAGAAUUUUAGCUGUAAAAGCAAGACAAGAUGCUGAAAAAGCAGGUGCUAGGUGUAAACCAAUGAUUAAUGUACAUGGACGAAAAGGAAAUACAACUGAUGAUUUAAUUUAUGACAGUUCAGGUAGAACUAACGAUAUGGAUGAUAGUAAUAGUAUUGGUCAUGUAAAUAAUGAAGAUCACCAUGAUGGAAAUAAUGAUGGUAAUUAUGAAGGACAACCUGACGAUAAUAAUGAAGAAAAUCACGAUGAUAAUAAUAAAUAUAUAACAAAUAAUGGAUCAAUAGAUAUUAGUAAUGUUGAUGAUGGUGGUGGUGGUGGUGGUAUGUAUAAUAAUCAGAUAAGUAUGCAAAAUAAUAAUUAUAAAAAUAUGAACAGUAAUAAUAAUAAUUAUAGUAUGAUGCAAAAUAAUGAGAAUUAUGGUAAUACACAAAAUAAUGGUUACCCAAAUAUGUUUACUAAUAAUACAAAUAUAAAUGGUAAUAAUAAUACAAUGUCUAAUAUAAUAUCACAAACAACGUUAAGCGGUAAUGUAAUAGGAAACACAUCUGUAGUUGGAUUAGGUAAUGUAAAUGGUUUUAAUUCAUCCACAUUGUUAGAAGGAGGAAAAGUUGAGGCAGAUGGAUUAAAUAAAAAAAUUAUAAUAAAAAAUGAAAAUAGUAAAGUUGUAAAAAGAGGAAGAGGUAGACCUCCUAAAAGAAAAUUAAGUGAAGAUUCACAAAUGUCUUUAGACGAAUUAGAACAAAAUAUAUAUAGACAUCGUGACAAUUUAGAUUUAUUAUAUACAACGAGUCCAUUUAAUAAAGGUUAUUUUCAACCAAUGAAAGGAGUAACAUAUAAUGAAGGAAAACAUGCAUGGUUAGCUUAUUGGGUUCAUGGUAAAAAUUUUCAAAUGAGAAGGUUUCCAACAAGAAAAAUAGGAUUUGAAAAAGCAAAAGAAUCUGCAAUACGUUGUAGAAUAGAAGCUGAACAAGCUGGUGCUACUACAAAUGAAAAUAAAUCAAAAAAAUUGAAAAAUUAUUUUCCAUUACAACAACAACUUGGUGAUAACAGUAGAAUAGAUGGUAACAACGGAUCAAUGAUGGAUCCAGCAGGUUGUAUGUUAGAACAUGAAGACAAUAUGAUGGAUAAUAAAAAUAUGAAUAGUAACAAUAUGUUAUUAUCACAGAUGCAUACAUAUAAUAUGGGGAAGCAUCGUAUAGGAGGUUCAGGACCUAAUAGUGGUACCAACACCAAUAACCAUAGUAACAUGACACUAUAUAAUAAUAUUGGUGGUGGUAAUAACAACAUGGGUGGUAAUGGGAACAGAAAUAACCCUAUGAAUAAUAAUAUGAAUAAUUGUGGUAGUAGUAAUAGUAGUGGUGGUAUGUUACACAUAAGUAAUAACAAUAAUAACAAUAAUAGUAAUAAUAACAACAAUAGUAAUAAUAACAAUAAUAAUAGUAAUAAUAACAAUAGUAAUAAUAACAACAAUAGU